rnacentral:tRNA from 1 species
GCGAAAGUAGCUCAGCUGGUAGAGCAUCACGUUGCCAACGUGAGGGUCGUGGGUUCGAAUCCCAUCUUUCGCUCUA